AGGCUCCAGGGUGCCCAAUAAAGACCAGCAAGCGCCAGGACCGUCUCUUAAAAGUGUUUCAGCUGCGGGAUCGGGCUACCAGCAGUGCAGAGUUUGCUCAGGAAUGGCAGCAGGCAGGUGUGAGUGCAUCUGCAUGCACUGUGAGGCAAAGACUCAUGGAGCAAGGCCUGUUCUCUAGGAGGGCAGCAAAGAAGCCACUUCUCUCCAGGAAAAACAUCAGGGACAGACUGAUAUUCUGCAAAAGGUACAGGGAGUGGACUGCUGAGGACUGGGGUAAAGUCAUUUUCUCUGAUGAAUCCCCUUUCCGAUUGUUUGGGACAUCUG